rnacentral:tRNA from 1 species
GGAGAGGUGGCUGAGUGGUUGAAAGCGGCAGUCUUGAAAACUGUUGUGGAUAUUUUAUCCACCGUGAGUUCAAAUCUCACCCUCUCCGCCA